rnacentral:rRNA from 1 species
GACGAACCGUGCGAACGUUAUUCGGAAUCACUGGGCUUAAAGCGCGUGUAGACGGGUCGGCGCGUCCGAAACUGAAAUCCCCCGGCUCAACCGGGAAACGGGCCCGGAUACGGCCGGCCUGGAGAGGGGUAGAGGGAGCCGGAACUCACGGUGGAGCGGUGAAAUGCGUAGAUAUUGGGAGGAACACCAGUGGCGAAGGCGGCUACCUGGACCGGUUCUGACGCUGAGGCGCGAAAGCGUGGGUAGCAAACAGG